AGUAUCUGGUAGAUAAUUGGCAGUAAUUGUCAUUUAUCGAAUUUAUGCAAUCUGUGAGUCUCUUUCUCGUGUUUUCAGCGACUCAAAACAAUUGAAAAUUUCCACUAAAGUGCUAUAUAUAAACGAUUGAUAUUAUGUUUCAUGUUAAUGCAUAGAAAGUUCUUAAAAGUGUGAGGUAAAGAAAGGAGAACAUGAGAGCCAUAGAAUUGGCAUGAUGAUGUUUUCGUAUAUACAGUCUUUUGAAUGGUACUUCACUUUAAUAUCAUUUGUUUCCACUUUCAUGUUAAUCAAAAUGUUAAUAAUGCUGUUUUCAUUUUCUUCUUCAGGUCCAUGCAGUUAGUGUAGCAGGCAUUGUUUUAUUACAAUUUUUUUGUUCCAGGUUAAGUAUGUAUUUUUGUGGCUAUAAUAACAUGCUGUUUGUAUCUCGUGUGAACCUUUGUGGCUAGAGGAGUCUAAUAUAACAGGUAUAAAUGAAUAAUUAUAUGCUGCCAGUAUGUUUGUGGUGUGUACCUUCGUGGCUAGAGGAGGCUAAUAUAACAGGUAUAAAUGAAUAAUGAUAUGCUGCCAGUAUGUUUGUGGUGUGUACCUUUGUGGAUAGAGAAGGCUAAUAUAAUGGGUAUAAAUGAAAAAUGAUAUGCUGCCAGUAUGUCUGUGGUGUGUACCUUUGUGGCUAGAGGAGGCUAAUAUAACAGGUAUAAAUGAAUAAUUAUAUGCUGCCAGUAUGUUUGUGGUGUGAACCUUUGUGGCUAGAGGAGGCUAAUAUAACAGGUAUAAAUGAAUAAUUAUAUGCUGCCAGUAUGUUUGUGGUGUGUACCUUCGUGGCUAGAGGAGGCUAAUAUAACAGGUAUAAAUGAAUAAUGAUAUGCUGCCAGUAUGUUUGUGGUGUGUACCUUUGUGAAAGCAGGAUCAAAGUCACCAAUGACUUCUCCUGAGAUGGGAUGGAUAUUACCAAGAGCUAUGCCAAGUGCUUUAUCCCUGGGCAUCGCACUAUAGUACAGGUCAAGGAGUGUUACAGGAGAGAUGUUUAAGUGCAAGAGAUCAUCAUUGUGCAAGGAUACGGUCCAGCGAAGUGCAGGUUGUGGUCAUGAGACAUGCCCUCAGGGAUAGGGUUAAGAGGUACAAGCUCACAGGAGACAGGAUCAAACACCCGCUGAUACAGAAAGGUCUCAUCUGCCUGCUUGAAGCUCUUUUCAUAGUCUACUGGCACGCGGUACUGGUCAUCCAUCCGCAGAUUACGCACAAGCUGCACAUGUAAAUAGAUAAUUUUGUUUUUUACUUAAUUUCACAGAAUCGAAUUCUCAAUGAGGAUGAUAAAGUAUGUAUUAAGUGGUCACCCUUGGGACUAAGCCAAAAGACUGCUUUUAAUAAAAAGUUGACUGCUCAAUAGAAGUUUCCUUAUUUAGCAAAAAAAAUAUCAAAAUGUGUAAAAACCAGAGAUCUACAUAUACCCCUCAAAGUAUGUUUAUAGACUAAUAGAUAAGCUAAAAUAUAGAAAAUUUGCGGAAAAUCUGGCAAAACGGAACUACAAACCUUGUGAACUUCAGCCAAAGUGAAUGCUCAAUAUGUGUAAAAUGAAAUAAAAUUCGGCAAACGGGACAAUGA